UACGGGGGGGGCAAGCGUUGUUCGGAAUUACUGGGCGUAAAGGGCUCGUAGGUGGCCAACUAAGUCAGACGUGAAAUCCCUCGGCUUAACCGAGGAACUGCGUCUGAUACUGGAUGGCUUGAGGCCGGGAGAGGCGAGUGGAAUUCCCAGUGUAGCGGUGAAAUGCGUAGAUAUUGGGAGGAACACCAGUGGCGAAGGCGGCUCGCUGGACCGGUUCUGACGCUGAGGCGCGAAAGCGUGGGGAGCAAACAGG
rnacentral:rRNA from 1 species